UACGUAGGGUGCAAGCGUUGUCCGGAAUUAUUGGGCGUAAAGAGCUCGUAGGCGGUUUGUCGCGUCGACUGUGAAAACCCGAGGCUUAACCUCGGGCCUGCAGUCGAUACGGGCAGACUAGAGUUCGGUAGGGGAGACUGGAAUUUACGGUGUAGCGGUGAAAUGCGUAGAUAUCGUAAGGAAGACCAGUGGCGAAGGCGGGUCUCUGGACAGUUCCUGACGCUGAGGCACGAAGGUCAGGGGAGCAAACGGG
rnacentral:rRNA from 1 species